UACCAAUGCGAGGCAGGAGUUUCUUUUGAUUAUGUCACUAGGAUGUUUCAGCAAUGACCAGACCAGUCGAACACCAUCAUUGAUGUGCUCUGGAUCGUUGAUGAUGUCCAUGCAUUGUUCAUUUUGCGCGCACUCCUUUAUCACCAAUGCUACUGUAACUCAAAUCUACAGAGUACGUGCGAGAAAACUUUAUGGGAUAAUUUAAGGAACAAAGACGAAAUCGGCCUUAAAAUAUUGAAUCAGAGGAUUAAAACGAAGAUAAUGGCCACUUUAAAGUAGCAAAUAGAGAUUAGAGAUACUCAGAAGUACCGAAGGGUAUUAAGAGCCAAGAUUAGGAAAAUAAUGAUAAUACCUCUCAUCACAGAUAAAGAAACAACUAUAAACAACUAAAACCCGAUCUUUACAACAUUCCGCCAGUGCUCCUACAACAUUCGCCUGCACGUCAUCAUCUUCGUGUUCUUCUAAAAAUGGCACUAAAGCAGCGACCAAACCAUUUUGAUUGAAUCUUAUUACGUUCUCUGGACUUAUGGCACAUUUCCAUAUUCCGCCUGUGACUGCAGCUAACAAUUGUUUAUUAGCCCGGACUUCUUCGCAUUGUAAAAGCUUGCACAAUAUAUCCAGACCAGAUGUCUGGCGAACCAUGUCCCUGGCAAUUUUGUGUCGUACAACGUCACAGAUAAUAUCUGUGGUCUCGAACGCUUUGCGAAAUACGUUCUGUAAUUGUGAAGGAAUUAUCGAUGGACAUAUGAAACGUUCCAUGAGCUUCACCACACCAAACUUGUGAAGUACGUCUCUCACUUUCGGACUACUGCUCAGAGAAUCUAAAACUUUAGCACAGCCUAUGGCAACCGCAACUAAUUCCUUGUUAGUUUCGUUCAACUCAUUGUACGAUGUUCGAAGAAUAGAAUCUGGCACGUCCAUCACAUCUAACUAUUAAAGGUUCGUCAUCUGUACUUUCUUCCUCCUGUUUUUCGCUGAUGUAACGGACUCGAGGACCGAAUGGUUGUCCAGUGACUGCUGAUAUUAGUGGCUUCGAUGGUUCUUCCGGUUCGAUUACUUCCAGCAUAUCCGGCUCGAUUCUUUAUUCGAAAAAAAAGAAAAAUAGAGAAGAUCAAAAUGAAAUGUCAUAAUUGUAGAUAGUUGAAAUAAAAUCAUAGGUUUCUUUAAUUAAGCGAUUAAACGCAUAAUGCAAUUAUUUAAUUACGAAAUAUCGUGAUAUUACAAAUACUUACAUAUGUUAAAUACUAAGGCUGUGAGACAAAAAAUAUUAAAAAACAAAUAACUCUGUGAAAUGACGGCUCUGGAACAAAAGAACACAUAUAUUCAAGCACAAUAAUGUAUAAUCAUAAUUGAUGCAUGGGAAAAGGAAUUUACUGACCAAAUAUCGUUUUACGCAACUAAUUAGAUCGAUGUAAAAGCAUACGAUGCACGUGACGUAAGCGUAAGCUUCAAAAUAAAAACCCUGGAGAAUGUGGCAAGUAGUGGCUAAGAUUUACAUUUUUGAAUUAUUAGUUUUUUUAUUUCAAUCUGUUUACUGUUGCAGCCAAACUCAUCGUAACUAAGAAUCUUCGGAUUCUUUUAUCUUGUAAUGUGUAUCGUAUCGUAUCGUGUAUGUAAGUCGUAAGUCAUUUUUCUUACCUAAGAGAGCGCGUUCUACGGUAUAUAAUACUGCCAAUUUGUCUAUUUCUUUUUAGCAAAAUUUACAGACGUUACUGAAACAUAGAUAAAUACAGUUUUUGCAAAAUGUAAAAUGCUAAUGAAAAGGAUUGUAUAGAUCAUUAGUAAAAAAAUGUAAAAAAGAAUCUAAUAAUACGAGUCACUUUAAAUGUUACAGAAUGAAGAACUUUAUGGAAAAAGGUGGAAGUACGGAAAAUCUAAAAGCGGUUUGUAAAAUUGCUAAGAAAAUCAAAUGUUCCGUAUACACAUAUAUGCUACUCCAUUUUCAGUGGUGUUGCUUUUAAUAUCCUUGUCAAUAUGGCUUUGUAUAUGCCGCUGGGGAUUUCGGUAUAAUUUGAAAGACCGAGAAAUUUUAUCCUGUUUAAUUUUAUACUUCAUCGUCAUUACUAUGUUGAACAUGCUUUUUUUGGGUCAUAUGCGAUUUUAUUGCGAACGUCCACGAGGAAUUAAGAAUUAAGAACCACAUACUGUAACAG